rnacentral:rRNA from 1 species
GACGAACGCUGGCGGCGUGCUUAACACAUGCAAGUCGAACGGAAAGGCCCUGCUUUUGUGGGGUGCUCGAGUGGCGAACUGGUGAGUAACACGUGAGUAACCUGCCCUUGACUUUGGGAUAACUUCAGGAAACUGGGGCUAAUACCGGAUAGGAGCUCCUGCUGCAUGGUGGGGGUUGGAAAGUUUCGGCGGAUGGGGAUGGACUCGCGGCAUAUCAGCUUGUUGGUGGGGUAGUGGCUUACCAAGGCUUUGACGGGUAGCCGGCCUGAGAGGGUGACCGGCCACAUUGGGACUGAGGUACGGCCCCGACUCCUACGGGAGGCAGCAGUGGGGAAUAUUGCAAAAUGGGCGGAAGGCUGAUGCAGCAACGCCGCGUGCGGGAUAACGGCCUUCGGGUUGUAGACCGCUUUCGCCUGUGACGAAGCGUGAGUGACGGUAAUGGGUAAAGAAGCACCGGCUAACUACGUG